rnacentral:ncRNA from 2 species
CGUUACCUCACUGGAGAGAGGUGCCGGACCAUCGCGUCACGGCAUCCACCGAAGGAGCAACCCGCAGAGUGUUUGGUUUACCCACCGAACGAUCCCGGCGAAUCUCUCAGGUAAAGCGGACAGCGAGGGCAAG